rnacentral:misc_RNA from 1 species
UGGAGAAAAGAAAUGAGAUGAGUAACAUGCAAUUUUGCAUGGUGAUUGUGCCCACAAGGUUUCCUCUAUAGUCUAAACUGCAAUUUGGUCCAUAAUCCAUCAGACUGAAAAUUUCGCACAAUGCACUUGACUGUCAAAAAAUGGAUUUUUUUGUUUUUUUGAAAAGAGCAAAUAAUUUAUACUUGGAUUAUAUUCAUAUAAGGCAUGUGAAGGUGA